GCGUUCGUGGUGUAUCGGUAACAUUGGGUCUUCCCAUGAAUUUAAUGUGGAGAUGGUAUGGCCUAGCACCGGGUUCGACUCCCGGCGGACGCA